CAACUUGAUCAGGGUAUCAUUGACUUAUUUAAGGAUUUGUUAAGGACUUGGUUGGCUGUAAGUAUAUUUUUAGAAGCAAGUUUGCCUGUCAAGGGUGAUCUUUGUCUAGAAGUGGCUACUAUGUUGACUUAUAAUUUCUAUCCUAUAUGUGAGGGAGGUUUUACUAAGGCGUAGUAGUACGGGGAUAGGAGCAGGGUACGAUUCUUAGGGUAACGUAUAUGUGAAUAUCGUUCGCAGCUAUUCACUACUCUCUAGAAAGCCUCUGCGCUGGGAGCGCUGUAUAGACAACUUAGUUAACUGGUUAACCCUACCCCUACCCCUAAGUUUUGUUAAUCACAUGACGGAUUAUGCUGGUGAAUUCCACAGUGGCAAGCUCGAUAUAG
rnacentral:lncRNA from 1 species